GACUGUCGUUCCCUAAUUACUGAAGUCUACCAUGACUAUCUCUCACUCAGUCACUGUAGGAACAAAGCACUGGAAGCCUGAAUUGAAGCCUUGUUGUGGCUGCUCUCUGUCUCAGGAUCAAUCAGUCCUUUCUCUUAAUGGCAUCUGACCAAGCACUCUCUCCAGCGGAUGUGGUAUGUGCUUGGCCUGGAGUCACUCACCAGCUGUUGCCUGUCAAAAUACUCAGGAACUAUAUUUGACCUACCUUACCCCGAAAGUCUGCAUAGUAGAGCUUCUGCAAGUCUGUGCUCUAAGAUCACAUGACCGUGAC
rnacentral:lncRNA from 1 species